AUGAUGUCAUGCCUAACUUAGAUGUUAAC
rnacentral:sRNA from 1 species